rnacentral:misc_RNA from 1 species
GUUUCAAUUUCUUAUUCCCAACACCAAAACAUUUUUAUCAGGCAAACUCUCUUUAUUCUUAAUAUUUCGACUGACCAGCUCUCAUAAAAGCCAUAAAACUAACAGCCUUUUCUCAAGCUAACCAACCAAAAAACUCUUUGGUGUGUCAAUGUUGUUUGUUUGCAAAAAUGCAAAAUGCAAUCCUCUAAUGAUCCUUCCGCAGGUUCACCUACGGAAA